rnacentral:rRNA from 1 species
UACGAAGGGGGCUAGCGUUGCUCGGAAUCACUGGGCGUAAAGGGUGCGUAGGCGGGUCUUUAAGUCAGGGGUGAAAUCCUGGAGCUCAACUCCAGAACUGCCUUUGAUACUGAAGAUCUUGAGGUCGGGAGAGGUGAGUGGAACUGCGAGUGUAGAGGUGAAAUUCGUAGAUAUUCGGAAGAACACCAGUGGCGAAGGCGACUUACUGGACACAUAUUGACGCUGAGGUGCGAAAGCGUGGGGAGCAAACAGG